rnacentral:lncRNA from 1 species
CCUGCUGGGAGACGGUGGGGCCCGGCUACGAUUAGUCUGGUCGGAGGCGGCUUCCGUAUAAGAGACGUCCUGGACUCUCUUGAGCAGAGUGGCUGUCUGUCCCAUAGCAGCGAUCAGGUGUGCUCGGAUGCUGGUCCGGACUCCCUGGCACUCGGGGGUGUCAGGAAGCCGAUCUAGGUUAGCCAUGGCGACAGCCACGUUGGCGCUUGGCGUUUUGUAGACUGGCUGGUCCCCGACCAUGUCAAAGGCAUCGUUGAGAUUAUUUGGUGGCAUUUGUUGUUGC